UUCCAAACAAAAUAGAGUAUCCUAUUCGGAGUCCAUGCGUUCCACCUAAAGCCUUCUGCCUUGACCUUGCUGCCCAAAGUCUCAGCCACUCUCCAUCUAAAUUGAGCUACCGAAAACGAACCAUCAGACUCUACAGUACCCAACGAAGCUGACCCUUGGACCCCCGCCUUGGCCAAAUCUCUAUCAACUGAGAUGAUGUCCUUCCAACAACCCGGCUACUCGGCUGGUCUUUUUUAAAUGGAACAUCAAAAUCCUGGUUCGGAGUACCAUGGAUAGCUUUCACGACACAGGCCCAAAGUAUUAGAAUAUGGGCCCACGGGCUCAGUUAGGUCUCUAGGGUUACUCGUAAUCCCUAUAUAUUGUAACCUACUCAUUCAGUAAUGAUCAUUCAGUCUUUCAUAUUCUUACAUGCUGGUCCACAUUCUUCAAAUACCUGACACUCCAUUUUAAUAACAAAGCCCAGCUUAGGCUGUGUAUUUCACCCAGCCCCAAGCCGCCCAACCUCUUGUGGGUUUGGACUUUCCACCACGCCGCCCACCUAAUUUUACACUUCGCACCAGUGAAGCCCCAAACAAAAUCACGACAGAUACCUUCCAAUGUUUUCAGAACCUUCACCGGGGCUUUAAAAAUAGAGAGGUAGUAUGACGGAAGGUUGCCGAGAACCGCCUUGGCGAGGGUAAUCUUCCCGCCCAUGGAUAGGGUCUUCGCUUUCCACCUAGACAACUUCUUUGUGAUUUAAAUAUUUGUGAUUAUUAGAACAGAGUGAAUGCAACAAAAUUGAUUUCUGGAUCAUUUGGUUAACUCAUAUUCAUGAGGAGUUGAGCUAACAAGCUUAGGCUUUCCAACCAACUGAUCAACAAAUCUUUCAUUUCUAUCCAAUCUCCUUCAUAUAAAUUGAUGUGAAUACUCUUAAAAUAACCCCAAACCACACCCAGAUUUAUACCCAACAUCAUAAGUAGCAAAAAGAAAGUCAUAUAUUUCAGAUGUUUUCAGUUUGCAAAUUGAUUUUUUCCCCUCAAAUAAAGUAGUUUAAAAACAAAAUAAUUAAGUGAGGCUCAGAUGUGUAAACAAGGGAAGAAAGGCGGAUAAAUCCACCAUGGCUGCAAAUCUAUGAAUUGCCCAGCCAAGAUGUGGAUCAUCUCAAACUUUGCUCCAUCCACUCGGACAUAUUAUUAUACAGCUUCAAUCAUCAUCACAGCCUCUUAACUUAAAACAAUCAUUCGAGUAAUUAACUCUGUUAUUCAGGGGUAAGUGUAUAGAAUGGUAGUUUCCGUUCAAAAAAAAAAAAAAAAACUCAUUUCAUGUUGAUAUAUGCAAUUGCUGCAAACUGAUAGAACACAGGAGGGGUUGUUGAAAUAUGAAUAGAAUCAUCGGCUAUGAAGAUGAAUUUUGACCAAACAAAGUCAAAGUCCUAAUUCAGAGGAGGGCAACCACCCCUAAUAACCAGAUC
rnacentral:lncRNA from 1 species